GAUGAAGAACGUAGCGAAAUGCGAUAAGUAAUGAGAAUUGCAGAAUUCAGUGAAUCAUCGAAUCUUUGAACGCACCUUGCGCUCCUUGGUAUCCCGAGGAGCAUGCCUGUUUGAGUGUCAUUAAUAUAUCAACCUUUUUGGGUUGGAUGUGGGUUUGCUGGCCUUUUGAGGUCAGCUCCCCUUAAAUGCAUUAGCAGACAACGUUUUGCCAACUGUUCAUUGGUGUGAUGAUUAUCUACGCUAUUGACGUGAAGCAAAGGUUCAGCUUCUAAUGGUCCAUUGACUUGGACAACUCUUAUUUAUUAAUUUGACCUCAAAUCAGGUAGGACUACCCGCUGAACUUAAGCAUAUCAAUAAGCGGAGGA
rnacentral:misc_RNA from 1 species